GACGAACGCUGGCGGCGUGCUUAACACAUGCAAGUCGAACGGAAAGGCCCUGCUUUUGUGGGGUGCUCGAGUGGCGAACGGGUGAGUAACACGUGAGUAACCUGCCCUUGACUUUGGGAUAACUUCAGGAAACUGGGGCUAAUACCGGAUAGGAGCUCCUGCUGCAUGGUGGGGGUUGGAAAGUUUCGGCGGUUGGGGAUGGACUCGCGGCUUAUCAGCUUGUUGGUGGGGUAGUGGCUUACCAAGGUUUUGACGGGUAGCCGGCCUGAGAGGGUGACCGGCCACAUUGGGACUGAGAGACGGCCCAGACUCCUACGGGAGGCAGAAGUGGGGAAUAUUGCACAAUGGGCGGAAGCCUGAUGCAGCGACGCCGCGUGCGGGAUGACGGCCUUCGGGUUGUAAACCGCUUUCGCCUGUGACGAAGCGUGAGUGACGGUAAUGGGUAAAGAAGCAACGGCUAACUACGUG
rnacentral:rRNA from 1 species